GGGAUAACAACGGGAAACCGUUGCUAAUACCGCGUACGAUUCAUAGGCGGCAUCGCUUGUGAAUGAAAGGUGGCCUCUAUAUAUAAGCUAUCGCUGAAGGAGGGGAUUGCGUCUGAUUAGCUAGUUGGAGGGGUAACGGCCCACCAAGGCAAUGAUCAGUAGCCGGUCUGAGAGGAUGAACGGCCACAUUGGGACUGAGACACGGCCCAA
rnacentral:rRNA from 1 species